GUUUGUGGCUUAGCGGUAGAGCGCUCGCCUAGCACAUGUGAGGCACUGAGUUUGAUCCUCAGCAGCACA
rnacentral:tRNA from 1 species